GACGAACGCUGGCGGCGUGCCUAACACAUGCAAGUCGAACGGAAGUAAGUGCUUCGGUAUUUACUUUAGUGGCGAACGGGUGAGUAACGCGUGAGGAACCUGCCUUUCAGUGGGGGACAACAGUUGGAAACGACUGCUAAUACCGCAUGACGCAUGACCGGGGCAUCCCGGACAUGCCAAAGAUUUAUCGCUGAAAGAUGGCCUCGCGUCUGAUUAGCUAGUUGGCGGGGUAACGGCCCACCAAGGCGACGAUCAGUAGCCGGACUGAGAGGUUGACCGGCCACAUUGGGACUGAGAUACGGCCCAG
rnacentral:rRNA from 1 species